rnacentral:lncRNA from 1 species
ACUCUCCUCCUACUGACUACGUUUACUACGCCAGCCUUAUAGAUGAUUCAGAGUCUGCAGAACGCUGUCUUUCUACCUAGCCGAUUUCCCCCUAUGGAGGUCGGAGACGCCAGUUUCUCCUGUUCCACAUCGAGAUUUUCCUGACAAGCACCCUGGGGGACCCUAGAGGGCAGCAAUCCUGUCCUAUUCUUCUGUGUGUUCCUGUGCCCAGCCCAAGGCCCCCAGAUGGAAGCUGCACGGAGUGUUUACUGAUUGAAGGAACGAAUGGAGAAGGGGCUCAUCUCUUGCUAAUCUUGAAGACAGUGCACGUGCACUCACAUAAAAUAACUACUCCCUUCAGCUAUAUAGACGCAUUUGACGCCAUGUCAGUGGACAGCCCUACCAAAGCCAGAAGCAAAAAUUCCUCUGUGGAAAAGAUAUGCUGGGCCCUAAUUAGUGGCCCCGUAACCUGGACAAUAUAUCAAGGAAGAGGAGGGAGAGAAAAGAAAGACAGAUAGACAAGCACUUUGGAGUUCCUGAGGAGGUGAGCAGUAGUAAACUGUGGAUGGGAUGCUGGACCAGGCUGGAGGUCAAGAAAAGGUAUUUCAGCAGAGGAAGUUUCAGAUACUAUACUUUAUACUAUAGUUAUAUGAAGAGGCGACCAAAAGAUAUGUAGCCAAAAGUCAAGGAAAAAAGGUGCUGUAACUGAUCCUUCAACAGUCCAUUCUUCUCUUCUAUCAGACCAGCUCUCCUGGUGUAUGAGAAGACCAGUGAAUCCCAUGACCAUUGGCCCACUGCUUUACUUCCUGACUGUAAAGUGAGUUCCUUGGGCAGAAACAGUAUUGUAUGGGUUGUUCUGAUGGCACUUAUUAAGUCCACUGAUAGUGGUCCUGAUGGAAGCAUGAUGGAGAGAAAAUGCAUAUUCAACUCCAAUAUAAAUAUUUAUUCC